UACGAACUGUGCAAACGUUAUUCGGAUUCACUGGGCUUAAAGGGUGCGUAGGCGGCUUGCCAAGUAGGGUGUGAAAGCCCCCGGCUUAACCGGGGAAUUGCGCCCUAAACUGGCGAGCUGGAGUGAGAUAGGGGUGUGUGGAACUUCCGGUGGAGCGGUGAAAUGUGUUGAUAUCGGAAGGAACGCCGGUGGCGAAAGCGACGACACUGGGUCUCAACUGACGUGCUGAGGCACGAAAGCCAGGGGAGCGAACGGG
rnacentral:rRNA from 1 species